rnacentral:rRNA from 1 species
GAUGAACGCUGGCGGCGUGCUUAACACAUGCAAGUCGAGCGGAGCACAUCGUUGGAAUCCUUCGGGAGGAAGAAGGUGUGGCUUAGCGGCGGACGGGUGAGUAACGCGUGGACAACCUGCCCUAUGCAGGGGGAUAACAUCCGGAAACGGGUGCUAAUACCGCAUAAGCGCACAGUACCGCAUGGUACGGUGUGAAAAGCUGAGGCGGCAUAGGAUGGGUCCGCGUUGGAUUAGGCAGUUGGCGGGGUAACGGCCCACCAAACCGACGAUCCAUAGCCGGCCUGAGAGGGUGGACGGCCACAUUGGGACUGAGACACGGCCCAGACUCCUACGGGAGGCAGCAGUGGGGAAUAUUGCACAAUGGGGGGAACCCUGAUGCAGCGACGCCGCGUGGGUGAGGAAGUACUUCGGUAUGUAAAGCCCUAUCAGCAGGGAAGAAAAUGACGGUACCUGACUAAGAAGCCCCGGCUAACUACGUGCCAGCAGCCGCGGUAAUACGUAGGGGGCAA